GUGCUCGAGGGAUGAACUGGUCCCUCAUAUCUCACAUCCAUCUGAUCACUUUGUCAGUUGCCUUUCCCAGUGGCAUGCUGAUCAUUAUAAGAUGGAAAAUGU
rnacentral:snoRNA from 1 species